GGGGCUGUGGGGUAGCUUGGUAGCCUCCUACCUUGGGGUGGUAGUGACCCGGAUUCAAAUUCCGGCAGUCCCA
rnacentral:tRNA from 1 species